AGUUGAGUACUUUCUGGAAUCAUUUCUAUGGUUUGUAACUAAGAAUUGUGUUCUGAAAGUGUUGCGUCUUCCUAAUCACAAUGAUGAGUUUUGAUGCGCUCUUCUGAACAUGAAUCAGGUUUUGGCUAGUGAUUCUUUCAUGGGCUUCAAUUGAUGAUGAGUGUUUUCUACAUUUUAUGGAGUGGAAGAGUACCUGUUCUGACUGAU